GAUUAAGUUAUUAAGGGCGCACGGUGGAUGCCUUGGCACUAGAAGCCGAUGAAGGACGUUACUAACGACGAUAUGCUUUGGGGAGCUGUAAGUAAGCUUUGAUCCAGAGAUUUCCGAAUGGGGAAACCCAGCAUGAGUUAUGUCAUGUUAUCGAUAUGUGAAUACAUAGCAUAUCAGAAGGCACACCCGGAGAACUGAAACAUCUUAGUACCCGGAGGAAGAGAAAGAAAAUUCGAUUCCCUUAGUAGCGGCGAGCGAAACGGGAAGAGCCCAAACCAACAAGCUUGCUUGUUGGGGUUGUAGGACACUCUAUACGGAGUUACAAAGGACGACAUUAGACGAAUCAUCUGGAAAGAUGAAUCAAAGAAGGUAAUAAUCCUGUAGUCGAAAAUGUUGUCUCUCUUGAGUGGAUCCUGAGUACGACGGAGCACGUGAAAUUCCGUCGGAAUCUGGGAGGACCAUCUCCUAAGGCUAAAUACUCUCUAGUGACCGAUAGUGAACCAGUACCGUGAGGGAAAGGUGAAAAGCACCCCGGAAGGGGAGUGAAAUAGAACCUGAAACCGUGUGCUUACAAGUAGUCAGAGCCCGUUAAUGGGUGAUGGCGUGCCUUUUGUAGAAUGAACCGGCGAGUUACGAUUUGAUGCAAGGUUAAGCAGUAAAUGUGGAGCCGUAGCGAAAGCGAGUCUGAAUAGGGCGUUUAGUAUUUGGUCGUAGACCCGAAACCAGGUGAUCUACCCUUGGUCAGGUUGAAGUUCAGGUAACACUGAAUGGAGGACCGAACCGACUUACGUUGAAAAGUGAGCGGAUGAACUGAGGGUAGCGGAGAAAUUCCAAUCGAACCUGGAGAUAGCUGGUUCUCUCCGAAAUAGCUUUAGGGCUAGCCUCAAGUGAUGAUUAUUGGAGGUAGAGCACUGUUUGGACGAGGGGCCCCUCUCGGGUUACCGAAUUCAGACAAACUCCGAAUGCCAAUUAAUUUAACUUGGGAGUCAGAACAUGGGUGAUAAGGUCCGUGUUCGAAAGGGAAACAGCCCAGACCACCAGCUAAGGUCCCAAAAUAUAUGUUAAGUGGAAAAGGAUGUGGCGUUGCCCAGACAACUAGGAUGUUGGCUUAGAAGCAGCCAUCAUUUAAAGAGUGCGUAAUAGCUCACUAGUCGAGUGACACUGCGCCGAAAAUGUACCGGGGCUAAACAUAUUACCGAAGCUGUGGAUUGUCCUUUGGACAAUGGUAGGAGAGCGUUCUAAGGGCGUUGAAGCAUGAUCGUAAGGACAUGUGGAGCGCUUAGAAGUGAGAAUGCCGGUGUGAGUAGCGAAAGACGGGUGAGAAUCCCGUCCACCGAUUGACUAAGGUUUCCAGAGGAAGGCUCGUCCGCUCUGGGUUAGUCGGGUCCUAAGCUGAGGCCGACAGGCGUAGGCGAUGGAUAACAGGUU
rnacentral:rRNA from 1 species